rnacentral:rRNA from 1 species
CCCUUAGAUGCUCUGGGCCGCACGCGCGCUACACUGGUCGAUGCAACGAGUUUCUUUCCUUGGCCGACAGGCCUGGGCAAUCUUUGAACAUCGAUCGCGAUCGGGAUAGAUUCUUGUAAUUUUUGAUCUUAAACGAGGAAUUCCUAGUAAACGCAAGUCAUCAGCUUGCAUUGAUUACGUCCCUGCCCUUUGUACACACCGCCCGUCGCACCUACCGAUUGAAUGGUCCGGUGAAAUCUCCGGACUGGCGUGAGUCGGAGCAAUCUGACAAACGCCGGAAAGUUGAUUAAACCUUACCAUUUAGAGGAAGGUGAAGUCGUAACA